GACAGAGGGUGCAAACGUUGUUCGGAAUUACUGGGCGUAAAGCGCGUGUAGGCGGCUAAGUAAGUCGGGCGUGAAUCCCACGGCUCAACCGUGGAAGUGCACUCGAAACUGCAUAGCUAGAGUCCUGGAGAGGAAGGUGGAAUGCUUGGUGUAGAGGUGAAAUUCGUAGAUAUCAAGCGGAACACCGGUGGCGAAGGCGGCCUUCUGGACAGUGACCUGACGCUGAGACGCGAAAGCGUGGGGAGCAAACAGG
rnacentral:rRNA from 1 species